rnacentral:rRNA from 1 species
UAUCUGUAGGUGAACCUGCAGAUGGAUCAUCG